rnacentral:SRP_RNA from 1 species
CACUGGGUCGGGUGACGUCACGUCCCGAACCUGGUCAGGACCGGGAGGUAGCAGCCAUAAGGGGCCUCUGGCGGGCACCCGGCUCAGUGGAA